rnacentral:rRNA from 1 species
UACGUAGGGUGCGAGCGUUGUCCGGAAUUAUUGGGCGUAAAGGGCUCGUAGGCGGUUUGUCGCGUCGGGAGUGAAAACCCAGGGCUUAACCCUGGGCUGGCUUCCGAUACGGGCAGACUAGAGGUAUGCAGGGGAGAACGGAAUUCCUGGUGUAGCGGUGAAAUGCGUAGAUAUCAGGAGGAACACCGGUGGCGAAGGCGCUCAUCUGGCCCAAUACUGACGCUGAGGCGCGAAAGCUAGGGGAGCAAACGGG